UGAGUUGUGCAUUGUGAUUAGU
rnacentral:siRNA from 1 species